CGCACGGGUGAGUAACACGUAUCCAACCUGCCGUCUACUCUUUGGACAGCCUUCUGAAAGGAAGAUUAAUACAAGAUGGCAUCAUGAGUCCGCAUGUUCACAUGAUUAAAGGUAUUCCGGUAGACGAUGGGGAUGCGUUCCAUUAGAUAGUAGGCGGGGUAACGGCCCACCUAGUCUUCGAUGGAUAGGGGUUCUGAGAGGAAGGUCCCCCACAUUGGAACUGAGACACGGUCCAAACUCCUACGGGAGGCAGCAG
rnacentral:rRNA from 1 species